ACGUAGGUCACAAGCGUUGUCCGGAAUUACUGGGUGUAAAGGGAGCGCAGGCGGGAAGACAAGUUGGAAGUGAAAUCUAUGGGCUUAACCCAUAAACUGCUUUCAAAACUGUUUUUCUUGAGUAGUGCAGAGGUAGGCGGAAUUCCCGGUGUAGCGGUGGAAUGCGUAGAUAUCGGGAGGAACACCAGUGGCGAAGGCGGCCUACUGGGCACCAACUGACGCUGAGGCUCGAAAGUGUGGGUAGCAAACAG
rnacentral:rRNA from 1 species